GGGGGACUGGAGGACUGGAGUUGGGCUGUUGGGGGACUGGAGUUGGGUUGUAGGGGGACUGGAGGCCUGGAGUUGGGCUGUUGAGGGUACUGGAGGACUGGAGUUGGGCUGUAGGGGGGACUGGAGGACUGGAGUUGGGCUGUUGGAGGGACUGGAGGACUGGAGUUGGGCUGUUUGGAGGACUGGAGGACUGGAGUUGGACUGUUGGGAGGACUGGAGGACUGGAGUUGGACUUUUGGUUGGACUGGAGAACUGGAGUUGGGCUGUUGGGGUGACUGGAGAACUGGAGUUGGACUGACUGGAGGACUGGAGUUGGACUGUUGGGAGGACUGGAGUUGGGCUAUUGGAGGUACUGGAGGACUGGAGUUGGGGUGUUGGGGGGACUGGAUGACUGGAGUUGGGCUGUUGGGGGUACUGGAGUUGGGCUGUUGGGGG
ensembl:lncRNA